GGAAUCAACCGAUUGAGCUCGCCCGAAGGGCGAGGGGCGAAGAGCUGAACGAAGGGAAGGGUAUCCUAAGAUAGAGCUCGACUGAUAAGGAGAGGGGCGACUAAAAGAGUAGUUGAGCCAGCGCCAUACCGUCAUUUAGUUGGGAGAUCGUAGACUUAGAUAUGCUCGACCAUAAGGGAGAGGGUAUCCCUGAUAGAGCUCGAGCGUAUGCGAGAGGGGCGACUACAAGAAUAGCAGUAUUUGAGCCAGCGACCGAUAGGUCGAUAGUAGGAGACAGAUAUGCUCGACUGAUAAGGAGAGGGGCGAAGAGCUGAGAAGAAACGACAGGGAAGGGGGAUUGGAGACGUAAGGAUCGAGCUCGACUGAUAAGGCCAAAGAAUACACAUCAGUAUUAAUCUAAAUGGCCGUUGAGCCAUUUACGACUGUUGCUGUGGGGCGAAGAGCUGAACGAAGGGAAGUGUACCCACUGGAUAUGGAUAUGGAUAUGGAUAGGUGAGACGAUAGUCGAUUGGCGAAGAGGACCAGUUUAACAUCUCAUUCAAGAUAGAGUGAGUCAUCCAUCCAAUUCCUAUGUUCACAGAGGUUCUGAAAGAAAAGAUUUUUGGUCUGUUGAUUCGGAAUCACGCUCUGUAGGAUUUGAACCUACGACAGAGGGUUUUGGAGACCCACGUUCUACCGAACUGAACUAAGAGCGCUUUCUUAUCAGAGUAGAUACGAUUGUAAAGAAAAA